ACAUUCUCUUCACAAUUAUUAUUUAUUCAUUAUAUUUAUCGAUCAAAUUUCAGAGAAAAAAUCCAGACACACAGAAACCGUGGAUCCUGGCGAAGGUGUACAUGAGGAGACAAUUCCAGAAUAUAGCCCAGGCACAUCUACAGGGAAGAGCAGCACAAGGAUACCAGAAACGGAAUUCAGGAGCUUGGUCAUAGAAGAUUCGACGCCUGGUCAUGAUGUUCACAUCCCAGCUCAUACAGACAUAGCUAUUCCACGAAAACCAUCAUCAG
rnacentral:lncRNA from 1 species